GAGAAAGUUACAAGAACUGCUAACUCUUGACCCCAUAACUAACCACUUAUGGCUUCCUCA
rnacentral:tRNA from 1 species